rnacentral:rRNA from 1 species
AUGGUUGGGAAACCAUGCCGUAGAGGGUGAUAGCCCCGUAUACGAAAUAGACAAGACUCGAAAUGGAAUCCUGAGUACGGCGAGACACGUGAAAUCUUGUCGGAAUCAACGCGGACCACCGCGUAAGGCUAAAUACUACCUAUUCACCGAUAGUGAACCAGUACCGUGAGGGAAAGGUGAAAAGCACCCCGGGAGGGGAGUGAAAUAGUACCUGAAACCAUAUGCCUACAAGAAGUCGGAGCCCGUUAAUGGGUGACGGCGUGCCUUUUGUAGAAUGAGCCGGCGAGUUAUGAUAGCAUGCAAGGUUAAGUAGAAAAUACGGAGCCGUAGUGAAAGCGAGCCUUAAUAGGGCGUUUAGUAUGUUGUCAUAGACCCGAAACCAGGUGAUCUAGCCAUGAGCAGGUUGAAGUUGAGGUAAAACUUAAUGGAGGACCGAACCGACGUUCGUUGAAAAGACCGCGGAUGACUUGUGGCUAGGGGUGAAAUUCCAAUCGAACCUGGAGAUAGCUGGUUCUCCCCGAUAUAGCUUUAGGGCUAGCGUCGAGGUUAGCAAGUUGGAGGUAGAGCACUAAAUGUAUGAUGGCCCCACCUAGGGGUACUGAAUGCAAUUAAACUCCGAAUGCCAAUUUUGUAUACUCGGCAGUCAGUACAUGGGUGAUAAGGUCCAUGCACGUAAGGGAAACAGCCCAGAUCAUCAGCUAAGGUCCCAAAAUUUAUGCUAAGUGUGUAAGGAUGUGAAGUCGCUUAGACAGCUAGGAGGUUGGCUUAGAAGCAGCCACCCUUUAAAGAAAGCGUAAUAGCUCACUAGUCGAGUCGGCCUGCGCGGAAGAUGUAACGGGGCUCAAACCAUGCACCGAAGCUACGGGUAUCAUCUUAGGAUGAUGCGGUAGAGGAGCGUUCUGUAAGCCUGUGAAGGUGAGUUGAGAAGCUUGCUGGAGGUAUCAGAAGUGCGAAUGCUGACAUGAGUAACGACAAUGCGAGUGAAAAACUCGCACGCCGAAAGACCAAGGUUUCCUGCGCAACGUUAAUCGACGCAGGGUUAGUCGGUCCCUAAGGCGAGGCUGAAAAGCGUAGUCGAUGGAAAACAGGUUAAUAUUCCUGUACUUCCAGUUAUUGCGAUGGAGGGACGGAGAAGGCUAGGCCAGCUUGGCGUUGGUUGUCCAAGUUUAAGGUGGUAGGCUGAGAUCUUAGGCAAAUCCGGGAUCUCAAGGCCGAGAGCUGAUGACGAGUUGCCAUUAGGCGACGAAGUGGUUGAUGCCAUGCUUCCAAGAAAAGCUCCUAAGCUUCAGAUAACUGGGAACCGUACCCCAAACCGACACAGGUGGUUGGGUAGAGAAUACCAAGGCGCUUGAGAGAACUCGGGUGAAGGAACUAGGCAAAAUGGCACCGUAACUUCGGGAGAAGGUGCGCCGGUGAGGGUGAAGCACUUGCUGCGUAAGCCCACGCCGGUCGAAGAUACCAGGCCGCUGCGACUGUUUAUUAAAAACACAGCACUCUGCAAACACGAAAGUGGACGUAUAGGGUGUGACGCCUGCCCGGUGCCGGAAGGUUAAUUGAUGGGGUUAGCGCAAGCGAAGCUCUUGAUCGAAGCCCCGGUAAACGGCGGCCGUAACAAUAACGGUCCUAAGGUAGCGAAAUUCCUUGUCAGGUAAGUUCUGACCCGCACGAAAGGCGUAAUGAUCCCUUCGCUGUCUCGGCUGCAGACUCGGUGAAAUUUUAGUACCUGUGAAGAUGCAGGUUACCCGCAACUAGACGGAAAGACCCCAUGGAGCUUUACUAUAGCUUGAUAUUGGGUUUUGAUAUAGCAUGUAUAGGAUAGGUGGGAGACUUUGAAGCAGUAACGCUAGUUGUUGUGGAGUCAUCCUUGGAAUACCACCCUUGUUAUGUCGGAAUCCUAACCUAGAUCUGUAAGCCAGAUCAGAGACAGUGUCAGGUGGGUAGUUUGACUGGGGCGGUCGCCUCCUAAAAUGUAACGGAGGCGCCCAAAGGUACCCUCAGUAUGGUCGGAAAUCAUACAUAGA